rnacentral:rRNA from 1 species
UGGGGGAUAUUGCGCAAUGGGGGCAACCCUGACGCAGCAACGCCGCGUGAAGGAUGAAGGUUUUCGGAUUGUAAACUUCUUUUAUUAAGGACGAAACUUGACGGUACUUAAUGAAUAAGCUCCGGCUAACUACGUGCCAGCAGCCGCGGUAAUACGUAGGGAGCAAGCGUUGUCCGGAUUUACUGGGUGUAAAGGGUGCGUAGGCGGCUUUGCAAGUCAGAUGUGAAAUCUAUGGGCUCAACCCAUAAACUGCAUUUGAAACUGUAGAGCUUGAGUGAAGUAGAGGCAGGCGGAAUUCCCCGUGUAGCGGUGAAAUGCGUAGAGAUGGGGAGGAACACCAGUGGCGAAGGCGGCCUGCUGGGCUUUAACUGACGCUGAGGCACGAAAGCGUGGGUAGCAAACAGGAUUAGAUACCCUGGUAGUCCACGCUGUAAACGAUGAUUACUAGGUGUGGGGGGUCUGACCCCUUCCGUGCCGGAGUUAACACAAUAAGUAAUCCACCUGGGGAGUACGGCCGCAAGGUUGAAACUCAAAGGAAUUGACGGGGGCCCGCACAAGCAGUGGAGUAUGUGGUUUAAUUCGAAGCAACGCGAAGAACCUUACCAGGUCUUGACAUCCAACUAACGAAGUAGAGAUACAUUAGGUGCCCUUCGGGGAAAGUUGAGACAGGUGGUGCAUGGUUGUCGUCAGCUCGUGUCGUGAGAUGUUGGGUUAAGUCCCGCAACGAGCGCAACCCUUAUUGCCAGUUACUACGUUAAGAGGACUCUGGCGAGACUGCCGUUGACAAAACGGAGGAAGGUGGGGAUGACGUCAAAUCAUCAUGCCCUUUAUGACCUGGGCUACACACGUACUACAAUGGCGUUAAACAAAGAGAAGCAAGACCGCGAGGUGGAGCAAAACUCAAAAACAACGUCUCAGUUCAGAUUGCAGGCUGCAACUCGCCUGCAUGAAGUCGGAAUUGCUAGUAAUCGCGGAUCAGCAUGCCGCGGUGAAUACGUUCCC